GACGAACGCUGGCGGCGUGCUUAACACAUGCAAGUCGAACGGAAAGGCCCUUCGGGGUCCUCGAGUGGCGAACGGGCGGGUAACACGUGGGUGAUCUGCCCUGCACUUUGGGAUAAGCCUGGGACACUGGGACUAAUACCCAAUUGGACCACGCUCUACAUGGUGUGUGGUGGAAAGCUUUUGCGGUGUGGGUUGGGGCCGCGGCCUAUCAGCUUGUUGGUGGGGUAAUGGCCUACCAAGGAGACGACGGGUAGCCGGCCUGAGAGGGAGACCGGCCACACUGGGACAGGGGAACGGCCCAGACGGCAUCGGGAGGCAGGAGCGGGGAAUAUUGCAAAAUGGGCGGAAGCAUGAUGGAGCGACGCCGGGUGGGGGAUGACGGCCUUCGGGUAGGAAACAUUUUGCACCAGAGACGAAGCGUAAGUGACGGUACCGGGAGAAGAAGCACCGGCCAACUACGG
rnacentral:rRNA from 1 species